AAACGAAAAUUUCUAGCCUUAUCGGUGGAUCACUCGGCUCGUGGAUCGAUGAAGAACGCAGCAAACUGCGAUAAUUUGUGCGAACUGCAGAAACCUUGAGCACAAAAGUUUUGAACGCAUAUUGCCGCAUUGGGGUCAAACCCUUUGCUACGUCUGGUUCAGGGUCAUUUUCUUUUAAAGCGAAAGCUUUAAUUUAUAUAUUGCUAUUUAUGCUUUGUAUUAUAAAAUGAUUGUUGGCGAUAUUCUAUUGACUGUAUUAUCAGAAACAAUAAAACAUUUUUGACCUGAACUCAGUCGAGAGCACCCGCUGAACUUAAGCAUAUCAGUAAGCGGAGGAAAAGAAACUAAACAGGAUUCCCCCAGUAACGGCGAGUGAACAGGGAAAUGUCCAUCGCUAAAUCAUUUUGCCUCAGGCAUUAUGAGGUGUAGCGUAUAAACCGUAAUUUUUGAUCUUUUGUCUCAAACAAGUCCCCUUGACAGGGGUUCCACAGAAGGUGCAAGUCCUGUACAUUGAGAUAAAUGGUUGAUAUUUACGUGCUUUAGAGUCGGGUUGUUUGGGAUCGCAGCCCAAAGUCGGUGGUAAACUUCAUCUAAGACUCAAUAUUGCCACGAGACCGAUAGCAAACAAGUACUGUGAAGGAAAGUUGCAAAGCACUUUGAAGAGAGAGUUAAAGAGGACGUGAAACCGAUGAGGUGGAAACGGAUAGAGUCGGCGUAUCUUUCAAGUAUUCAUUUACAUUGUUUUUGUGCUGUGAUCUCUGAGCUCCAGAUUGGGACAGAAAGAAGCAGCAUGAUUUUCUGUGAUGCAUUUACUUGUUUGGUGCUUGGGGAUGUUUGAGACAGAUUUGUAACCGCUGUUUUGAGGCCAGCUUGCUGGUACCCAAACGGUGUUAGCAUUUUUUGUCUUGGACAUUUGGGUAUGGCUUACGGGCAUUUAUUGGUUCGAUCUGAUUGUAAGUUACGGUCGCAUGCGACACGUGCUUUUCAAUUAGUUCGGUCCAGUUAAUGCUCUCGUACUCAUUCCCCAUGUAAAAGCCGGUCAUCUAUCCGACCCGUCUUGAAACACGGACCAAGGAGUUUAUCGUGUGCGCAAGUUUUUGGGUGUUAAAAACCUAAAGGCGAAAUGAAAGUAAAUGACUCUUUAGAGUCUGAUGUGCGAUCUUGUAAAAAAGUGCAGCAUGGCCCCAUUCUAACUGUUUACAGUAGGGUGGCGGAAGAGCGUACGCGGUGAGACCCGAAAGAUGGUGAACUAUUCCUGAGCAGGACGAAGCCAGAGGAAACUCUGGUGGAAGUCCGAAGCGGUUCUGACGUGCAAAUCGAUCGUCUGACUUGGGUAUAGGGGCGAAAGACUAAUCGAACCAUCUAGUAGCUGGUUCCCUCUGAAGUUUCCCCCAGGAUAGCUGGAGCUCACGAGUAGUUAUACUCGGUAAAGCGAAUGAUUAGAGGACUUGGGAACGAAAUGUUCUUAACCUAUUCUCAAACUCUAAAUGGGUAUGAUGUCAAAGUUGCUUGAUUUUGAACUUUGGCGUUGAAUACUAGCUCUAAGUGGGCCAUUUUUGGUAAGCAGAACUGGCGAUGUGGGAUGAACCAAACGCGGAGUUGCGGUGCCAAAGUGCCCGCUCAUUAGACCCCAUAAAAGGUGUUGGUUGAUACAGACAGCAGGACGGUGGCCAUGGAAGUCGGAAUCCGCUAAGGAGUGUGUAACAACUCACCUGCCGAAUCAACUAGCCCUGAAAAUGGAUGGCGCUGGAGCGGGCCACCUAUACUCUGCCGUCAUAUGCUUGUAUUCCGUGAAGAGUCUGGCAAUGACGUGUAAGAGGGUCGUAGUGGUUGCGUUGAAGGCUUUGGGUGUGCACCCAGCUGGAGCUUCCACUAGUGCAGAUCUUGGUGGUAGUAGCAAAUAUUCAAGUGAGAUCCUUGAAGACUGAAGUGGAGAAGGGUUCCACGUGAACAGCAGUUGAAUGUGGGUCAGUCGAUCCUAAGGCACCGGCUAAAGCCGUCUAGACACUGCGGGGAGAUGAGAUACUUAACGGUAUUUUGUCCACCCGGUUGCCGAAAGGGAAGUGGGUUAAUAUUCCCACACCAGGCAUGGGAGAUGGUGAUCCGUAAGGAUUACUCUGCGCGGUGACGCAAACGAACUCGUAGACCUCGUGUGGAGUCCGGGCCAGAGUUCUCUUUUCUGGUUUAGAGAUCAUGUCCCUGGAAGUGGCUCAGCCUGAGAUAGGGAUGCUGGUCUCGUAAAGCGCAGCGGUUCCUGUUGUGUCCCGUGUGCUCCACAUGAGCCGUGAAAAUGCGAGGGAGGCAAUUUAAAAUCUCCUGCCUGAUCGUACCCAUAUCCGCAGCAGGUCUCCAAGGUGAACAGCCUCUAGUCGAUAGAAUAAUGUAGGUAAGGGAAGUCGGCAAAUUAGAUUCGUAACUUCGGGAAAAGAAUUGGCUCUAAAGGUUGGGUCAAUCGGGCUGUUGUGUGAAACAGGUGGACUUUGCUCGUGGCUGCUUGCGC